GGCAGUUCUCAAGUAAAGCACCCUGAAUUGGGCUCCCUUCUCUCUGGUUCUGGGUGCGUCACCCAAGAACUGCA
rfam:Myotis brandtii contig208343, whole genome shotgun sequence.